UACGAAGGGGGCUAGCGUUGUUCGGAAUUACUGGGCGUAAAGCGCACGUAGGCGGGUCGUUAAGUCAGGGGUGAAAUCCCGGAGCUCAACUCCGGAACUGCCUUUGAUACUGGCGAUCUUGAGAUCGGAAGAGGUGAGUGGAAUUCCCAGUGUAGAGGUGAAAUUCGUAGAUAUUGGGAAGAACACCAGUGGCGAAGGCGGCUCACUGGCCCGAUACUGACGCUGAUGCACGAAAGCGUGGGGAGCAAACAGG
rnacentral:rRNA from 1 species